GUUGAAACAAAGUGGCGCUAUUAGAAAUUAAUUUGUGACUCGAGGUAGAAGCAAAAAAAGCCUUGAAAGUUGAAAAAAAGGUAAUAAAAUUGCAUGAUUUAAUCACCUACAGAGAAUUACAAUACAAAAAGAAGAAUAAACUGGAUGACGAGAAGAUAUAAAAAGUCACGAAUUUUGCGUAAAAAGAAUUUAAUGACAUUUUUGUAGACGACUAACAAUCGCUGAAAUAAUUGGUAAAAAUUAAAAUGUGGAAAAUACGAUGUUAUUUAAAAACAUGGCUAAAUUAAUAAGAUUUAUAACCAGUACACUGAAACAGACGAGCAACCCACUGCAACAUUUCGAUGUCAUACUUUAG